UACAGAGGUCUCAAGCGUUGUUCGGAAUCACUGGGCGUAAAGGGUGCGUAGGCGGCGGGGAAAGUCAGAUGUGAAAUCCGGAGGCUCAACCUCCGAAUGGCAUCCGAUACUACCUCGCUAGAGAUUUGUAGAGGAGCUUAGAAUUCUCGGUGUAGCAGUGAAAUGCGUAGAUAUCGAGAAGAACGCUCGCAGCGAAAGCGAAGCUCUGGGCAAAUUCUGACGCUGAUGCACGAAGGCUAGGGGAGCAAACGGG
rnacentral:rRNA from 1 species